rnacentral:rRNA from 1 species
UACGUAGGGGGGCUAGCGUUGUCCGGAAUCAUUGGGCGUAAAGAGCGUGUAGGCGGUCCGGUAAGUCCGCUGUGAAAGUCGGGGGCUCAACCCUCGAAUGCCGGUGGAUACUGUCGGGCUAGAGUGCGGAAGGGGCUACUGGAAUUCUCGGUGUAGCGGUGAAAUGCGUAGAUAUCGAGAGGAACACCUGCGGCGAAGGCGGGUAGCUGGGCCGACACGUGACGCUGAUGCGCGAAAGCCAGGGAGCGAACGGG